GUGGACUUCCCAUGGGCUUUCAUCCACCAGCGUCAUGUCCCUUAAACCAUGUUGUGCAGCAGAGGUGUUAUCCUCAUGCUGAUUUCUUAAUGUAUCUUGGGUUUCCGUAAUCAUCAAUUUUUUAUUCUGUCUGGUGAUUAGCCAUACGAGAAACCUACUACCUGUAGGAUGGAGUUUUGUUGUCUAGGUUUUCCUUCCCAUAGAUGGUUGCCUGCCAUGGCUGACGAGUUCCAUCUUCCCGGCUUUUCUUUCUGGGUCUGCUCCCAUAGCCUUUUGAUCUUCCCAGAUCUAACCACAAGGCAGCGGUACUAUUUACCCAUAGUUGGGACAAGGUUGAUGAGUGCGAGGGCGUGUCCACACGCCGGUGGGCCUACACACUGCAUCUCUAGGGCC
rnacentral:lncRNA from 1 species